AAUCUUCCACAAUGGGCGCAAGCCCGAUGGAGCAACGCCGCGUGCAGGAUGACGGCCUUCGGGUUGUAAACUGCUUUUCGGGGGGACGAUGCUGACGGUACCCCCGGAAUAAGGCUCGGCUAACUCUGUGCCAGCAGCCGCGGUAAUACAGAGGAGCCAAGCGUUGUCCGGAUUGACUGGGCGUAAAGCGCACGCAGGUGGUCGUGCAAGUGUCGUGUGAAAGCAGCUCGCUCAACGAGCUGAGGCAUGGCAGACUGCACAACUCGAGCCCGUGAGAGGUCGGUGGAAUUGCCGGUGUAGUGGUGAAAUGCGUAGAGAUCGGCAGGAACACCCAAGGGGAAGCCAGCCGACUGGCACGGUGCUGACACUGAGGUGCGAGAGCGUGGGGAGCAAAC
rnacentral:rRNA from 1 species